rnacentral:rRNA from 1 species
UGGAGCAUGUGGUUUAAUUCGACGCAACGCGAAGAACCUUACCAGGGCUUGACAUCCCCUGACCGCGUAUGAAAGUACGUUUUCACCCUCGGGUGACAGGGAGACAGGUGGUGCAUGGUUGUCGUCAGCUCGUGUCGUGAGAUGUUGGGUUAAGUCCCGCAACGAGCGCAACCCCUACGUUUAGUUGCUAACGCGUGAAGGCGAGCACUCUAGACGAACUGCCGUUGACAAAACGGAGGAAGGUGGGGAUGACGUCAAAUCAUCAUGCCCCUUAUGUUCUGGGCUACACACGUGCUACAAUGGCCGGUACAGACGGACGCAAAGCCGCGAGGUGGAGCAAAUCCUAAAAAGCCGGUCUCAGUUCGGAUUGCAGGCUGCAAUUCGCCUGCAUGAAGUCGGAAUCGCUAGUAAUCGCAGGUCAGCAUACUGCGGUGAAUACGUUCCCGGGCCUU